rnacentral:tRNA from 1 species
CGGGACGUGGCGCAGCUUGGUAGCGCACCUGACUGGGGGUCAGGGGGUCGUGGGUUCAAAUCCCGCCGUCCCGA